rnacentral:tRNA from 1 species
GGGCCUGUAGCUCAGUUGGCUAGAGCGCAGUCCUGAUAAGACUGAGGUCCCCCGUUCGAGCCGGGGCAGGCCCA